AUUCACAGAGAGUGGACACAGACUCUACCUCUCAAUAGGAGGAGCAUCAAAAAGCGGAAGCCAUGCUUUAUAACCACCACGAUGAGUGACGUAAUAAAAACUAGAGGACAAAUAUGAUACAGGUACACUCUUCAGAUCCCAGAAACUGACUGAAGAUGAGGCUAAGAAGGAAGGAAGCUUUCUGAUGAACAUGAACACUGCCAUUUCCUGUAUGAUAGUAUCAUUGCUAGUGAUGAAGAAGACUCAGUUCUUCCCACGGCUGCGCAGCUGCUCCCCAAACUGGAGCAUGCGCGGGACCACUCCCGUGCCCACCCACAUUGUGGGAUUAGCUUCCUGGCCAACCUGCUGUGUUUCUGGCGCUGAAGCUGUCCUCCCGGGAGACGCCGCCUGGGCUGCCUCUGUCCUCGCCCACCACCGGCAUGUCUGAAAUUUACUAGAAGCAAGACGUGGACAACUGCAACAGCAGCCUGAAAACAUGAACACAUCUGUGAGAAAAUUAAUCUAUCAACCUGUCAGACGCUGCAACUGCCUGGAAAGGAAUAACAGCGUCUGCUGCUUUCUGUUAAAGGUCACCCUCUAGGCUCUGAGGAAUUUUUCCUGAAUUACAAAGAAGGAACAGAUCAAAUGCCUGUCAUAACACACUUCAGAAAACAAGGAGCAACCAGAAGUUCCUAUUCAUCUAAGGAAUCUUUGAAAAUCCUGCUCUGGGUGGAGCGACAUUUGUUAACAAUAAAAAGUUCACUUGGCAGGCCAACCUGGGUAUGGCCAAAGUUGACAGGGCAGACUACCCCCCCAGGGACUGUGUCUCACCUCUCAAGACUUCCAGGAAGUUCCUGAGAACGUCAGGAACUCUGCAAUUCUGGCCUUGGUGGUUCACAGCCCACCCCUCCAUUCAGGCUUCUUCUCCAUGCAUGUCACAAGGGAAGCAGACCUCCACAACAGAGCUUUCUCCUAAGGACCAAUGGGCGGCUUCACCUUUUCCCACAGUUUAGACUGACCAGGGCUGGCUUAGGAGGAGUCGCUAGGCAGAACUACCCACAGAUUUGUGUGUUUCAAGUCAUUUGGGUUCCUGCCCAAUUCAGAUUCAUAGGGAUAGAACUCUGGAUGACAAAACCAAAAAAAACCCCAUGGUCAACUAUACAGCAACAAUUUUGUAAUGCCAAGUUUACUAGUCAUCUUUACAUAGUUUUUAUUUAAGUACUAAAAUAUUUGUAAUACACCUUCGAGGGGAUUUGUAAGAUGCAUUUUAUAACUUCCCCAACACUCUUGUAAAGGCAGCAGGGAGUUUUACCUUCUUCCCUGCUUUCUUCUCUGAAAAUGUAAUUUUGACUAUUUUUUUCUUUUUCUUAUUUUUUGAGACAGUCUCACUCUGUUACCCAGGCUGGAGUACAGUGGCAUGAUCUUGACUCACUGCAACCCCCCCUUCCCAGGUUCAAGUGAUUCUCUUGCCUCAGCCUCCCGAGUAGCUGGAGUUACAAGCAUGAGCCACCACAACUGGCUACUUUUUAUAUUUUUAGUAGAGAUGGGGUUUUACCAUGUUGGCCAGGCUGGUUUUGAACUUCCAACCUCAGGCGAUCCACCCGCCUCGACCUCGCAAAGUGCUGAGAUUACAGGCGUGAGCCACCAUGCCUGGCUUACUUUUUUUUUCCUUAAUAGUUGGCAAGACCCCUGGAAUCAACCAAAAUGCCCAUUGAUAAUAGACUGGAUUGGAAAAAUGUGGCACAUAUACACCAUGGAAUAUUAUGCAGCAAUCAGAAAUGAUAAGUUUGUGUCGUUUGUAGGGACAUGGAUGAAUCUGGAGAACGUCAUCCUCAGCAAACUGACACAAGAACAGAAAAUGAAACACCGCAUAUUCUCACUCAUAGGCGGGUGAUGAAAAAUGGGAACACAUGGACACAGAAAGGGGAGUACUAAAC